rnacentral:rRNA from 1 species
ACGCUGGCGGCGUGCCUAAUACAUGCAAGUAGAACGCUGAAGCUUGGUGCUUGCACCGAGCGGAAGAGUUGCGAACGGGUGAGUAACGCGUAGGUAACCUGCCUCUUAGCGGGGGAUGACUAUUGGAAACGAUAGCUAAUACCGCAUAAAAGUCGGCAUUGCAUGAUGUUGACUUGAAAGGUGCAACUGCAUCACUAAGAGAUGGACCUGCGUUGUAUUAGCUAGUUGGUGAGGUAACGGCUCACCAAGGCGACGAUACAUAGCCGACCUGAGAGGGUGAUCGGCCACACUGGGACUGAGACACGGCCCAGACUCCUACGGGAGGCAGCAGUAGGGAAUCUUCGGCAAUGGACGGAAGUCUGACCGAGCAACGCCGCGUGAGUGAAGAAGGCUUUCGGAUCGUAAAGCUCUGUUGUAAGAGAAGAACGAGUGUGAGAGUGGAAAGUUCACACUGUGGCGGUAACUUACCAGAAAGGGACGGCUUACUACGUGCCAGCAGCCGCGGUAAUACGUAGGUCCCGAGCGUUAUCCGGAUUUAUUGGGCGUAAAGCGAGCGCAGGCGGUUAGAUAAGUCUGAAGUUAAAGGCUGUGGCUUAACCAUAGUACGCUUUGGAAACUGUUUAACUUGAGUGCAGAAGGGGAGAGUGGAAUUCCAUGUGUAGCGGUGAAAUGCGUAGAUAUAUGGAGGAACACCGGUGGCGAAAGCGGCUCUCUGGUCUGUAACUGACGCUGAGGCUCGAAAGCGUGGGGAGCAAACAGGAUUAGAUACCCUGGUAGUCCACGCCGUAAACGAUGAGUGCUAGGUGUUGGGUCCUUUCCGGGACUCAGUGCCGCAGCUAACGCAUUAAGCACUCCGCCUGGGGAGUACGACCGCAAGGUUGAAACUCAAAGGAAUUGACGGGGGCCCGCACA